ensembl:rRNA 5S_rRNA 5S ribosomal RNA
CUUGUGGAUUAUUGUACCCUGUACACCCUGUAGCCCAAGACUGGUUACCCACUGAAGCUAAGCAGGGUUGAGCCUGGUCAGUACCUGGAUGGGAGACCUCCUGGGAAAACUAGGUUGCUCCUGGA